UAAUACGGAGGAUCCAAGCGUUAUCCGGAAUCAUUGGGUUUAAAGGGUCCGUAGGCGGUCUUUUAAGUCAGAGGUGAAAUCCUACAGCUCAACUGUAGAAUUGCCUUUGAUAUUGAAAGACUUGAGUUAUUGUGAAGUAGUUAGAAUGUGUGGUGUAGCGGUGAAAUGCAUAGAGAUCACACAGAAUACCGAUUGCGAAGGCAGAUUACUAACAAUAUACUGACGCUGAGGGACGAAAGCGUGGGUAGCGAACAGGAUUAGAUACCCUGGUAGUCCACGCCGUAAACGAUGGAUACUAGCUGUUCGACCAACAUUGGUUGGUUGAGUGGCUAAGCGAAAGUGAUAAGUAUCCCACCUGGGGAGUACGGUCGCAAGACUG
rnacentral:rRNA from 1 species